rnacentral:rRNA from 1 species
GAGGAAUAUUGGGCAAUGGGCGCAAGCCUGACCCAGCCAUGCCGCGUGCAGGAUGACGGCGCUAUGCGUUGUAAACUGCUUUUGUACGGGAAGAAACCCAUCUACGUGUAGGUGGUUGACGGUACCGUCAGAAUAAGCAUCGGCUAACUCCGUGCCAGCAGCCGCGGUAAUACGGAGGAUGCAAGCGUUAUCCGGAUUCAUUGGGUUUAAAGGGUGCGUAGGCGGAGUACUAAGUCAGUGGUGAAAUCCUGCAGCUUAACUGUAGAACUGUCAUUGAUACUGGUAUUCUUGAAUGCAGUUGAGGUAGGCGGAAUGUGUAAUGUAGCGGUGAAAUGCUUAGAUAUUACACAGAACACCGAUUGCGAAGGCAGCUUACUAAACUGUGAUUGACGCUGAGGCACGAAAGCGUGGGGAGCAAAC